GAUGAAGAACGUAGUGAAAUGCGAUAAGUAAUGUGAAUUGCAGAAUUCAGUGAAUCAUCGAAUCUUUGAACGCACAUUGCGCCCGCCAGUAUUCUGGCGGGCAUGCCUGUCUGAGCGUCAUUUCAACCCUCAUGCCCCUAGGGCGUGGUGUUGGGGAUCGGCCAAAGCCCGCAAGGGACGGCCGGCCCCUAAAUCUAGUGGCGGACCCGUCGUGGCCUCCCCUGCGAAGUAGUGAUAUUCCGCAUAGGAGAAGCGACGAGCCCCUGCCGUUAAACCCCCAACUUUCUCAGGUUGACCUCAGAUCAGGUAGGAAUACCCGCUGAACUUAAGCAUAUCAAUAAGCGGAGGA
rnacentral:misc_RNA from 1 species